CAUAAAUCUUAUUUUAAAAUUUCAUAGAUUUGUGUUUACUUAUACUAAAGUUAUUGUGCAAAAACCAAGAAAAAUGCUUAUUUGGGCCCUUUUUGGUCAUAAACCUUGUGUUUAAAUUUCAUAGAUUUCUAUUUACUUAUACUAAAGUUAUAGUGGAGAAACCAAAUGUCUUUAGACGACGACGAAGACGCCAACGUCAUACCAAUAUAUGACCAAAAAAUUUUCAAUUUUUGCGGUCGUAUAUAAAUCAGCUGAAAAAUGAUGGACUCAAUGUUUGGUAGUUCAAAGCCUA
rnacentral:lncRNA from 1 species